AACCCUUGUGGAGGAGGACGCCGAAGGUGGGGCUAAUGACUGGGGUGAAGUCGUAACAAGGUAGCCGUACCGGAAGGUGCGGCUGGAUCACCUCCUAACAGGGAGACAACAAAAUGUUUAAUAUUAUUAUUUUGUCACCUUAGGUCGAUCGGUAUCUCACGUUUUUAAUUUAUUAAGAAUUUCAUUUCCUAAGUUUUUCUAGGUCACACCCAUUAUUUUUCCUGGGCCAUUAGCUCAGGUGGUUAGAGCGCACCCCUGAUAAGGGUGAGGUCCCUGGUUCAAGUCCAGGAUGGCCCAUAUCUCUAUGUUGGGGGUAUAGCUCAGUUGGUAGAGCGCCUGCUUUGCAAGCAGGAUGUCAGCGGUUCGAGUCCGCUUACCUCCACUGAUCACCACCUCUUCCAUAAUCGGUAGAAAGGAAAUUUUUUGAGUUGUGAUCAAAUUCUGAAAGAAUCUAGCUUCCUAAUGAAAAUAUUAAGAUGCUGGACUCAUUGAAUUAAUUUCAUUGUUUUCAGAGAACCUUGACAACUGCAUAGAUUAUUUUUAAAGACAAUAAGCAUCUUUAAUGAUGCAGAUUUAUUAUUUGUGCAAAUGCAUUAAUAACAAUUCUAUUAAGCUGAUGCUUCAAUUUUUGAAGUUAUUGGUCAAGCUACAAAGGGCUCACGGAGGAUACCUAGGCACACAGAGGC
rnacentral:misc_RNA from 1 species